rnacentral:lncRNA from 1 species
UUAAACUAUCAAUCCUGAUCAGAUCAUCCGAAUCGUGCUUAACUCAAACGGUCCUGUGACUCCUCACUGGGACAACCUUGGCCAAGAUUUUGCUAAAUUGAAACACGACUGUACACAGCUCCUAAACUAGAGUGGUCAAUCCCAUCUUGACACACGCACCGACAAGUCAAGUACUUGACUACACCUAGCAGCCUUCCAUCACUGAAUUAGAAAUUCAGGUAG